CCUACGGGAGGCAGCAGUGGGGAAUAUUGCACAAUGGGGGGAACCCUGAUGCAGCGACGCCGCGUGAGUGAAGAAGUAUUUCGGUAUGUAAAGCUCUUUCAGCAGGGAAGAAGAAAGACGGUACCUGACCAAGAAGCCCCGGCUAACUACGUGCCAGCAGCCGCGGUAAUACGUAGGGGGCAAGCGUUAUCCGGAUUUACGGGGUGUAAAGGGAGCGUAGACGGCAGCGCAAGUCUGAAGUGAAAUGCCGGGGCUUAACCCCGGAACUGCUUUGGAAACUGGGCAGCUAGAGUGGAGGAGAGGUAAGUGGAAUUCCUAGUGUAGCGGUGAAAUGCGUAGAUAUUAGGAGGAACACCAGUGGCGAAGGCGGCUUACUGGACUGUCACUGACGUUGAGGCUCGAAAGCGUGGGGAGCAAACAGGAUUAGAUACCCGGGUAGUC
rnacentral:rRNA from 1 species